rnacentral:rRNA from 2 species
GAUGAACGCUAGCGGCAGGCCUAACACAUGCAAGUCGAGGGGUAGAGGGUGCUUGCACCCUUGAGACCGGCGCACGGGUGCGUAACGCGUAUGCAACCUACCUAUUGCAGGGGAAUAGCCCAGGGAAACUUGGAUUAAUGCCCCAUAGUCCAUAUUGAGAGCAUUUGAGAUAUGGUAAAGAUUUAUCGGCAAUAGAUGGGCAUGCGUCCCAUUAGCUAGUUGGUAUGGUAACGGCAUACCAAGGCUACGAUGGGUAGGGGCCCUGAGAGGGGGAUCCCCCACACUGGUACUGAGACACGGACCAGACUCCUACGGGAGGCAGCAGUGAGGAAUAUUGGACAAUGGGCGGGAGCCUGAUCCAGCCAUGCCGCGUGCAGGAAGACUGCCCUAUGGGUUGUAAACUGCUUUUUUACGGGAAGAAACACCCCCACGUGUGGGGGCUUGACGGUACCGUACGAAUAAGGACCGGCUAACUCCGUGCCAGCAGCCGCGGUAAUACGGAGGGUCCGAGCGUUAUCCGGAAUCAUUGGGUUUAAAGGGUCCGUAGGCGGGCGUCUAAGUCAGUGGUGAAAUCUCGCGGCUCAACCGUGAAAUUGCCAUUGAUACUGGUCGCCUUGAAUUAGUGUGAAGUGGCUAGAAUAUGUAGUGUAGCGGUGAAAUGCUUAGAUAUUACAUAGAAUACCGAUUGCGAAGGCAGGUCACUAACACUAUAUUGACGCUGAUGGACGAAAGCGUGGGGAGCGAACAGGAUUAGAUACCCUGGUAGUCCACGCCGUAAACGAUGGAUACUAGCUGUCCGGCCUGCAUUGGUAGGCUGGGUGGCCAAGCGAAAGUGAUAAGUAUCCCACCUGGGGAGUACGUUCGCAAGAAUGAAACUCAAAGGAAUUGACGGGGGCCCGCACAAGCGGUGGAGCAUGUGGUUUAAUUCGAUGAUACGCGAGGAACCUUACCAGGGCUUAAAUGUAGUCUGACAGGGGUGGAAACACCCCCUUCUUCGGACAGACUGCAAGGUGCUGCAUGGUUGUCGUCAGCUCGUGCCGUGAGGUGUCAGGUUAAGUCCUAUAACGAGCGCAACCCCUGUCGUUAGUUGCCAGCAUGUAAAGAUGGGAACUCUAACGAGACUGCCGGUGCAAACCGUGAGGAAGGUGGGGAUGACGUCAAAUCAUCACGGCCCUUACGUCCUGGGCCACACACGUGCUACAAUGGCAGGUACAAUGGGCAGCCACGCCGCAAGGCGGAGCGAAUCCACAAAACCUGUCUCAGUUCGGAUCGGGGUCUGCAACUCGACCCCGUGAAGCUGGAAUCGCUAGUAAUCGGAUAUCAGCCAUGAUCCGGUGAAUACGUUCCCGGGCCUUGUACACACCGCCCGUCAAGCCAUGGAAGCUGGAAGCACCUGAAGUCCGUCACCGCGAGGAGCGGCCUAGGGUGAAGCUGGUAACUGGGGCUAAG